GCUGUUCAUUGAUUACAUGAUUACAUUGACUUAAGAUUUUGAACAACACUUAUCUUUUACAGUGUUUGCACUUAAAAUGAGCUCCAAGUCAAAAGUAUAGCAUUACAUUACAUUACAGGCAUUUGGCAGACGCUCUUAUCCAGAGCGACGUACAACAAAGUGUAUAACCAUAACCAGGAACAAGUGUGUCGAAAACCCUAGAGAGAAGUACCGUUUCAAGCACAGGGAACUACCGCAUAGUUCAGCUAGUUAACCCUGUAGGUUAAACUGAUUAACACUAACGAGAACAGCAACAACGCAAAAAUACAAGCAGUAGUUAGUUCAUGCACUUGUCUUAAGUCACCUACGAAACAGCUACCUAGUUACAACCCUAUGCUUACAGUCAAUUUAGAGCUUACAGGGAGGUAGGGAGGGAUGGGAAGAGGUGCAGCCUGAAGAGGUGAGUCUUCAGGCUGUAGUAUAAAUAGCUACAGGGCUGAAUGGUUUAUUAGUUCAGUUAAGGCACCGCACCACGCUGUGGUGCAUGGACGGCCUCACUGCCUCGGACAGAAUCUGGACUGUGUUUCAUCGCUAUCAAGCUAACGCCGCUGGUCGAACAGGCAACUGUCAACUGCAUGGUAAGCAGCCUAGGAAAGGUCUUCCUCCGCCUAUCUGAGCUUAGCUGUAGUCUGCGGUGUGUAAGCAACUGGUGACACCAUCUGCAGUUAGAAAUAUUGGAUAUUCCCAAUUUGGUUGGGAAUUAAAUAGUACAGUCACACGCUGAGUGCCAAAUUUAGAUAUAAAAUGAAAAAAUAAAGCUAUAAAUAGUUUUAUUCAAAUAAAUUUUUACUUUAGGUCUUUCAGAAAUCGCAUGCUCUGUUUCUCUCUGCAGGAAACAUCUUCGAAUUUGCCAUAAACCUCAGUUAUGCUUUCUCCUCUUUGAUUUCCGAUCACCAUUCCCACCGAGCUUUCGUUUACCUUUCUGAGGAACUGGAAAAGUAUGUGUGUUUGGAGGGGUGAAAGAAAAAGAGAAUGUUUGUAUGUUUAUGAACCUGACUUCUAAACAUUAUAUAACAGACCCCUAACACAUAUAUUCACAUAAACUAGUGAUGGGCACUGCAAGCACUUGUAAGCAUUUGCCACACAGAAAUUAAUUUACAGUAUAUUAGCAGGCUCCAAAGAAUCCAGGACUCUAAGAAACACAGGUAACAGUUUUCCCAGUAUUCAUAGUGAAAACUGGAACAGGUUUUUGUUGUUUCAAUGUGGUUCCCACCCCCCACCCCAAACUUCCCUUAUUUACAGUGCUAAACAUGCUGAAGCCAUAAUCUUAAAUAUCAUUCACUGCAGCAUAUACUGGCUUUGCUGUGUGAUAGGUUUGUCUUUCACUGUUUCACUGUAGUUUAGCAGUUUUUAAACAGUCAAAACAUUUAUUUUUGUGACUGAAUUUGGUAGUCUAUUUCAAGGAGCACUCACAACAAGGAGGGUCUGGGUUCAAAUCCAGCUUGCACCCCUCUGUGUGGAACUUGCAUGUUCUCCCCAUGGGCAGCCAAUUGAGUGUGAGUGUGUGAGUGAAUGGUGUGUGUGCCCUGGGAUACAUUGGCAGCCGGGUGAUGCAUUCCUGCCCGUCACCCAAUGCGUGCUCCAGAACUCCCGAGACAAGUGGGUAUGGACUUCAAGGAAUAUGAGUUAUUUCAUGUGUUUUCAUGUUACAUAUUUAUUUCAGGCUUGAAUGCCCCCAAAAUCUUCACUCACACUCCAUGGAUUCUUCCCCUUGUCUAUCAGCUGGUCCCUCUGAUCUUGCCUCACCAUCAUCCAGUGGCUGCUCUCCUACUCGAAGAGAACAUUGAAAGCUUUAUUGCCUAGCUAGUUCACUCCGGUAAGUCCGGGAAGAGUGCUAUCAUCACUCUUCCCCCAUUUUUACUUUUUUUAAAUCGAGCACUAAUGCCAAAUAUACAAGUCAUAACAACCGUAGCCAAAUUAUCACAAAGAAUACAGGGAUUGAAGGGGACUGUAUCUUAUACUGACCGUGAUAAAAAAAAUGGCUGUUAACAGUGAAUGGGAAUUCAAGUAAGAUGAGAGUCGUGUUCUUUCUUUAUCUUUACCAGUACCCCUCAGCCCUCUUCAUCAGUUCAUGAUUUUAGAGUUUCUGAAAAAUUGGCUUUGUUCCUACCCAAAUUAAUUAUUAAUGAUCAACUUCAAAAUAAUUCUGACACUGCAAUGAUCGUUUAACAAAACAUAUUUGUGAAUGCACUCCGCUUUUUUAGAGUAUACCACUACUUAUAAAUAAUAAACAAUAAAUUCUUAUUGGAAAAAUGUGAUCCUUAGUGGCUAACACUGUCAUGAUGGUAUUUGUAGUCCAUGUUUAUAUAUGACUACUAACUUUUGGUUGUAUUUAUCUUCAAAAUAUUUUUGUAAGGUAUCAUUUUUUGUAAACCCUGAAAUUUGUCUCUACAUGCAAUUUUCUGAACAACUAAAUCACUUUAGCACUCCACUUAAUCAUAUGUAUCCUUUAUAUUCUACAAACAUAGCGAAACAC